rnacentral:rRNA from 1 species
UACGAAGGGAGCUAGCGUUGUUCGGAAUCACUGGGCGUAAAGCGCACGUAGGCGGAUUUGUCAGUCAGGGGUGAAAUCCCGGGGCUCAACCUCGGAACUGCCUUUGAUACAGCAAGUCUUGAGUUCGAGAGAGGUGGGUGGAAUUCCUAGUGUAGAGGUGAAAUUCGUAGAUAUUAGGAAGAACACCGGUGGCGAAGGCGGCUCACUGGUCCAUUACUGACGCUGAGGUGCGAAAGCGUGGGGAGCAAACAGG